AAUGAACGCUGGCGGCGCGCCUAAUACAUGCAAGUCGAGCGAGAAGACGUAGCAAUACGUUUGUAAAGCGGCGAACGGGUGAGGAAUACAUGGGUAACCUACCCUCGAGUGGGGAAUAACUAGCCGAAAGGUUAGCUAAUACCGCGUACGCUUCUUGGACUUCGGUUCAGGGAGGAAAGCGAUACCGUGGGUAUCGCGCUCUUGGAUGGGCUCAUGUCCUAUCAGCUUGUUGGUGAGGUAACGGCUCACCAAGGCUUCGACGGGUAGCUGGUCUGAGAGGACGAUCAGCCACACUGGCACUGCGACACGGGCCAGACUCCUACGGGAGGCAGCAGUAAGGAAUAUUGCGCAAUGGGCGAAAGCCUGACGCAGCGACGCCGCGUGGGGGAGUGAA
rnacentral:rRNA from 1 species